rnacentral:rRNA from 1 species
UACAGAGGUCCCGAGCGUUGUUCGGAUUCAUUGGGCGUAAAGGGUGCGUAGGCGGUCUGCUAAGUUUGAUGUGAAAUCCCGGGGCUCAACCCUGGAAUGGCAUUGAAUACUGGCGGACUAGAGUACCGGAGAGGAAACUGGAAUUUACGGUGUAGCAGUGAAAUGCGUAGAGUAUCGUAAGGAAGACCAGUGGCGAAGGCGGAUCUCUGG